UCACAUAUAUAAUUAAAUCACAUUAUCAUACUUGCAAACAUACGCCAAGAGACCGGAGCCCCUUGACAAACAUAAUCAUAGUUUGAGUCGAUGGCUUAAGUCCCAUGACCAAACACAUACAUAAAUCAAUGGCUUAGGUCCCAUGAUCGAUCAAUGGCUUAGGUCCCAUGAUCACACAUAACAUAGAUCAAUGGCUUAGGUCCCAUGAUCGCACAUAACAUAGAUCAAUGGCUUAGGUCCCAUGAUCGCAC
rnacentral:lncRNA from 1 species